UCCAGACUCCUACGGGAGGCAGCAGUGGGGGAUAUUGCACAAUGGGGGGAACCCUGAUGCAGCGACGCCGCGUGGGUGAAGGAGCGUUUCGGCGCGUAAAGCCCUAUCGGCAGGGAAGAAGGAGGACGGUACCUGACUAAGAAGCCCCGGCUAACUACGUGCCAGCAGCCGCGGUAAUACGUAGGGGGCAAGCGUUAUCCGGAUUUACUGGGUGUAAAGGGGGCGCAGACGGCAGCGCAAGCCAGGAGUGAAAGCCCGGGGCCCAGCCCCGGGACUGCUCUUGGAACUGCGCGGCUGGAGUGCAGGAGGGGCAGGCGGAAUUCCUGGUGUAGCAGUGAAAUGCGUAGAUAUCAGGAGGAACACCGGUGGCGAAGGCGGCCUGCUGGACUGCGACUGACGUUGAGGCCCGAAAGCGUGGGGAGCAAACAGGAUUAGAUACCCCUGUAU
rnacentral:rRNA from 1 species